GCGGGUGUAGUUCAAUGGUAGAACUCCAGCCUUCCAAGCUGGCCGCGGGGGUUCGAUUCCCCUCACCCGCUCCA
rnacentral:tRNA from 1 species